rnacentral:lncRNA from 1 species
GAUCCAUAUUUAAUGACCCGGCAGAAGCUGCAUGGAAAUGGGUCCCAUUAGAACCCAGCCACAGGCCCACGGGCUCCUGCAAAGCGCUGUACAGGAGGACAGUUAGCUUGUACUAAUGAAGACACGUCCGUUUCCCAUUGAUGCCGCUGAGGUCGGCCGCCGGCACGCCUUUCGAUAGGUCAGUGCACGAGAACGUGAAGCGACUGAGGAAUAAGUCUCCGAAAUGUCGAUUAUAAUCAGAUUUCUGUACCUCCUCAUCUACUGGUGCAGUGUCUGCUGCGAUGCGGCCCAUGCUUUACAAACAAAGCUUUCAAUUUAUUUGCAUUAAAUUGUACUGUAUAACUCCUGGGCACCUUUAGGGAGAAGCCCAACGGCGAGCUGGUACAAUACAUCACAUCUGGCUGAGGAGUGGGAGCAGAGUGACAUCUGGACUACAACGGUGAUGCUGCCACCGUUCACCAGUAGCAACAGAGUCGCCUCCGGCCUCCAGCACCAAACAGAGCAUCUGACAGGUGCCGCCGGCUGUGAAGGAGGCAGGUGGUCGGGGAAACUCGGCGGUGGUGGACGGGAUGUUCAUUGUGUCAUUUCCAUGUUGAUGCAUCGUUUCACCGGACGCAGCAGCUGUCUGCUGAGAGGAGCAGUUAGGGCACCACAGAUGCUCUCUUGGUUUACACACACACACACACACACACACACACACACACACACACACACACACACACACACACACGCACGCACACACACACGCACGCACGCACGCACGCACGCACACACACACACACACACACACACACACACACACACACGCGCGCUUCCCUCCGCAUGACUGCUGUUGUGAUUACUCCUGCUAAAGUUGAACAAAUCCAUCAGUGAAGGGACGUCGGUGACUCAUGUGCUGCGACAGUCACGUCCGUUUGCCAGAGUGGCACCGUCACGGAGCGGCUUCGUGGAACAGGCGACAGGAGGAGCGACAGAAGGAAGUGAUGCAAUGAACGCAGGACUCACCGAAUGGGUAAAUAAACAAGCGCACACAGACA